rnacentral:rRNA from 1 species
CAGUCGCCGCGGUAAUACGAAGGGUGCAAGCGUUAAUCGGAAUUACUGGGCGUAAAGCGUGCGUAGGCGGUGAGUUAAGUCUGCUGUGAAAUCCCCGGGCUCAACCUGGGAAUGGCAGUGGAUACUGGCUCGCUAGAGUGUGUCAGAGGAUGGUGGAAUUCCCGGUGUAGCGGUGAAAUGCGUAGAGAUGUGGAGGAACACCGAUGGCGAAGGCAGCCCCCUGGGCCAAUACUGACGCUCAUGCACGAAAGCGUGGGGAGCAAACAGGAUUAGAGACCCCAGUAGUCCCUGUCUCUUAUAC